rnacentral:rRNA from 1 species
UACGGAGGGGGCUAGCGUUGUUCGGAAUUACUGGGCGUAAAGCGCGCGUAGGCGGCUUUGUAGGUUAGAGGUGAAAGCCCGGAGCUCAACUCCGGAAUUGCCUUUAAGACUGCAUCGCUAGAAUCAUGGAGAGGUGAGUGGAAUUCCGAGUGUAGAGGUGAAAUUCGUAGAUAUUCGGAAGAACACCAGUGGCGAAGGCGACUCACUGGACAUGUAUUGACGCUGAGGUGCGAAAGCGUGGGGAGCAAACAGG